ACUUGGAGGAAUGUAUAGCGAAAGCUAGUUGCAUUAACUAACUGUUAAUGCAGAAGCGACUAUGUCGUGUAAAGUUCAGGGUAGAGUUAUGAUAAUGACAUUUUCUAUCUGUGUGUCUCGACCAACCUACGUGCCAGCAGUCGCGGUAAUACGUUAGAGACUAGUGUUAGUCGUCUUUAGUAGGUUUAAAGGGUACCUAGACGGUCAUUACAGCCCCUAAAGGGUACUGUUUGAACUAGAGUUUUAUGAGAGGGGGGGUGUACUAAUGGUGUAGAGAUGAAAUUCAGUCAUACCAUUACGAACAGGCAACAGCGAAGGCAACCCUUUAUGUGUAAACUGACGUUGAAGGACGAAGGCUUAGUCAACCAACAGGAUUAGAUACCCUAGCAGUCUGAGCAGACAAUGAUGAAUGUCAUAGACUUAAACGUGAACGUGAGUAAUAGAGUGAGAUCUAUCUCACUAUGUCUAUAAAUGAAAGUGUAAGCAUUCCACCUCAAGAGUAACGUGGCAACGCGGAAACUGAAAUCAUUAGACCGUUUCUGAAACCAGUAGUGAAGUAUGUUGUUUAAUUUGAUAAUCCGCGGUACACCUUACCACAAUUUGUAUGUUUAGUAAUAGAUACAAGAGUUGCACGGCUGUCUUCAGUUAAUGUCGUGAGAUUUUGGUUAGUUCCAUAAAAUUAACGUAAACCCUUACUUUAUUUUAGUAAAUAGAGUAGUUCACCGCUAUAUUGGAUAUGAUAAAAGGGACUAAGACAAGUCAUCAUGGCCCGAAUAUUGUGGGCUAUAGACGUGCCACAUGCGCCUAUACAAAGGGAUGCGAAAUUGUGAAAAUGAGCUAAUCCCCAAAAA
rnacentral:rRNA from 1 species